UCUCUCCGCACAAGAUGGCUUCCACCAAGGCAUCAUGGAUGAAAACAUACUGUUCCUGUAGAGAGAGAGAGACAGAUAGUACAGACAGUGAUUAAAUGCUUUAUUCAGUCUCAGUCCGGCUGAGCAUGCUGUCCAGGACGAUGUACGUGCCCGUCCGGCCGACGCCAGCGCUGCACAGCAGCAAGAGAGAACGAGACGAUUAAGCCGGGAAUUAACUGACAUGAGGAUGGAAACGAAACCCCUCCUGGGUUAGUUUCAUCAGAUAUUACCUGCAGUGCACCACCACCGGCCCCAUGUCGUCCGUCCUGGCUCUG